CCUACGGGAGGCAGCAGUAGGGAAUCUUCCACAAUGGGCGAAAGCCGAUGGAGCAACGCCGCGUGGGUGAAGAAGGUCUUCGGAUCGUAAAACCCUGUUGUUAGAGAAGAAAGUGCGCGAGAGUAACUGUGCACGUUUCGACGGUAUCUAACCAGAAAGCGACGGCUAACUACGUGCCAGCAGCCGCGGUAAUACGUAGGUGGCAAGCGUUAUCCGGAUGUAUUGGGCGUAAAGGGUACGCAGGUGGUCUUUUAAGUCUGAUGUGAAAGCCUUCGGCUUAACCGGAGUAGUGCAUUGGAGACUGGGAGACGUGAGUGCAGAAGAGGAGAGUGGAACUCCUGGUGUAGCGGUGAAAUGCGUAGAGAUAUGGAAGAACACCAGUGGCGAAAGCGGCUCUCUGGUCUGUAACUGACGCUGAGGUUCGAAAGCGUGGGUAGCAAACAGGAUUAGAUACCCGUGUAGUC
rnacentral:rRNA from 1 species